UAUUUUUUUAGUAUAUAAGUACGUCUGACUUCCAAUCAGAAAGUCUAAUUUCUUUAGAAAAAAUAA
rnacentral:tRNA from 1 species